CCCUUAGAUGUCCUGGGCCGCACGCGCGCUACACUGAGUGUCUGAGAUACGAGUCUGCCUGGUCCGGCAAGGUCUAGGUAAUCGCUAAAAGACACAUCAUGCUUGGGAUAGAUUAUUGCAAAUAUUAAUCUUGAACGAGGAAUUCCUAGUAAGCGCAAGUCAACAGCUUGCGUUGAUUACGUCCCUGCCCUUUGUACACACCGCCCGUCGCUACUACUGAUUGGAUGUUUAAGCGAGGUUCUCGAACUGCUAGCGACUUAACUUCGGUGAGGUCGCAGUGUGGGAAGUGAACCUAGCUUUGGUGUCUAGAGGAAGUAAAAGUCGUAACA
rnacentral:rRNA from 1 species